CGCGCUCGCACGCCCAGGAGUCCAGGUGUAGGUGUUGAAUGGCGACACCUAUCGACCGGAGGUUAUUUAUUUUAAAUUUUUUUUUUACUUCAGCUGCAGUGCUGCAGGACACAAGGAAAUAAAACGCAAGCGUGAACUAACCGGUCAAUCUUUGACAUUCAAAAGAACGGUAAAUUGCUGUUUACAUUUACCUUGAUCGUGACGACCAGAAAGAAGUGCUGAUAAGUUCUCAGUGGUGCCGCCGUAAGCUUACCCUUUCACCAUAAUUUGCCUUUCAAGUAUCAGUUUCCUGUUUAAUAUAAGCAUUAGCUCCUUUGAGGAAGGCCACCGUUAGUUGUUCACCAAUACUGUCGAUGCGGGUAACGUUAAGUGUAACAGACUAUUUCCAGACAAAUAAAAAAAGGAUUUCAAUCUAUAAAAAAAACUUGAAAAUAAAUAUUUGUCGCAGAAAUGGUUUAUUAAGAAGUCAUGCAAGGAAAUUGAUUAUGCAUAGUAAGUAGUUUGUUACACUUCGAGAGGGCCCUUGUGCUUGUCAGGGUUCAAAUUUGCUAAAACAACCCACUCACUAAAGACUGUCCCUUACACCAGUCUGAAUCCCUAAAGGAUUUUCCUUACUGUUAACUCUUGACCUUGAAAUAAACAAAAGCAAAACCUGAAACACUAUGAUCCACCAGGCAGAGAAAGAUACUUUGUGUUGUAGGUAUGUUUGCAUGUUGGUCUAGUUGAGUAAAAAGGCCUAUUUUUUAACCUAAUAUGCAGUGUCAAGUGCACUUCCGUGCCAUCACUGAGCCUACCCUCAUUUUCUCUUCCACUAUCUGGUGCAGCCCUGCCACAGCCAAGGAUGAAGGUGAUCCUCAAAGCUCCCACACAAAGGCCCAGCACCCUCUCUGACAACAUCUUUUUUACACAGCGAGCCCUUACAUUCAAACUCAGAGCAGCAUGUUUACAGACACUGCUUAUGUUUUUACACCCUGGACAUUUUGGACAGUUCUCCUGUUCCUGUCACCCUAUAUGCAUCUGUCUACUGUAUGUUUCUUGGAAAGGAUGAACUGUAAAUGGGAAUUUCCCCUUGUGGGACUAUUAAAGGAGUAUCUUAUGAUCUUCUAGCGCUAUUUGUU